UACGUAGGGUGCGAGCGUUGUCCGGAAUUAUUGGGCGUAAAGGGCUCGUAGGCGGUUUGUUGCGUCAGGAGUGAAAACUCGGGGCUUAACCCCGAGCCUGCUUCUGAUACGGGCAGACUAGAGGUAUGCAGGGGAGAACGGAAUUCCUGGUGUAGCGGUGAAAUGCGUAGAUAUCAGGAGGAACACCGGUGGUGUAAACGGCUUUCUGGACCAUAACUGACGCUGAGGCGCGAAAGCUAGGGGAGCAAACAGG
rnacentral:rRNA from 1 species